UACGAAGGGUGCGAGCGUUGUCCGGAAUCACUGGGCGUAAAGGGCGCGUAGGCGGCGCGGGAAGUCCGUGGUGAAAGCCCGAGGCUCAACUUCGGGUCGGCCAUGGAUACUCCCUGGGCUUGAGCACUGUAGAGGCAGGUGGAAUUCCGGGGUGUAGCGGUGGAAUGCGUAGAGAUCCGGAAGAACACCGGUGGCGAAGGCGGCCUGCUGGGCAGUAGCUGGACGCUGAGGCGCGACAGCGUGGGGGAGCAAACAGG
rnacentral:rRNA from 1 species